rnacentral:rRNA from 1 species
ACGAACGCUGGCGGCGUGCCUAACACAUGCAAGUCGAGCGAGAAAGUCCCUUCGGGGCGAGUAAAGCGGCGGACGGGUGAGUAAUACAUGGAUAAUCUUCCCUCGAGCCUGGGAUAACCCUGCGAAAGUGGGGCUAAUACCGGAUAAGACCACAUGACACAUGUCACGGGGUAGAAGGUGGCUUGUAUUUAUAUGAGCUAUCACUUGAGGAUGAGUCCAUGGCCUAUCAGCUAGUUGGUGAGGUAAGAGCUUACCAAGGCUAUGACGGGUAGCUGGUCUGAGAGGACGACUAGCCACACUGGGACUGAGACACGGCCCAGACUCCUACGGGAGGCAGCAGUGGGGAAUAUUGGGCAAUGGGCGAAAGCCUGACCCAGCGACGCCGCGUGGGUGAUGAAGGCCUUCGGGUUGUAAAACCCUUUUCGUGCGGAAAAGAAUUAGUCCUGUAGCGAAUAACUACGGGAUUUGACGGUACCGCAGGAAGAAGCACCGGCUAACUCCGUG